GAUGAAGGCUGGAAGAAGGUGUGUGUGAGCUGAUCCAGUGGAUCCAGUCAAUCCAGCAGCAUGGAUCAGUGUGAGCAGGGAACCCGUCCCUCUAAACACCCUCUUUGUGGGGAAGAAGAAGAGGAAAUUGACUAUUAUCGCACUCCUAACAGAAACCAACCUGGACUUGGAUCUGAAAACAGCUGGAGGUCUUUCAGGGGUAACAGAUCAAAGGAAUCGCCUCUUCACUUCAAGGAAAGUCAUUCACGAAUGCAGCAUAUCCAACAGAGACACAGAAUUGGAUCCGAACCCAGCUGUGUGUCCUUCAGGAGUGAGCGGUCAAUAGAUCGUCUUAUUCAUUUUAAAUCAUCAUCAUCUUUUGUUGGAGAGAGGUAAGCUGUAUGUAAAUGUUGAAACAGUCAAAUGAGUCAAAUGUUUUCAUUCCAGCAUGUGUUUGAUUUAUGCUCAGCUAUUACUCACAGACAUUUCUAUCGUCAGUUUGUCUCUGUAUACACAGACAGAAUGGAUCUGAUGGUUCUGAUUCUCCACAGAGUGGACCAGCAGAGCUCAGAGACUCC